GGAGAGGUCGCAUAGCCUGGACUAGUGCGUCGGUCUCGAAAAUCGAUAGGGCGCAAGCCCUCGUGGGUUCGAAUCCCACCCUCUCCGCCA
rnacentral:tRNA from 1 species